rnacentral:lncRNA from 1 species
GGGACCUGCGAGCAGUGGCUUCCUAGGCUGGAAUCCAGAGGGCAAACCCUGGGUGGCAUCAGGGCUAAGGACUUCUUGCUUAUGGGAGUCCCUCUCGCAGGGUCUUCCACGGCCUGGCAAGAUUUGUUCCCGAGGGAGGGAAAAUGUUUGCCACAUCCUAAGUCCGUGGAAGUGAGCCUCCAAAAGAAACGUUCUUGCACAAAGUUACACUGCCAUCCUGUGGCUGGUAGAGGUUCCCUUUCUUCCUUUGACACUGGAUUUCCGUCUUGGAUCUUUAUUUCUACCCACUUCAGGGCUGAGCGAAGGAAAACUCUCCAGGACCGCGACGGGUACAACGACUCUAUCAGCCGGCCUUGCCCGCACAUCUCCUCUAUCGAGAGGUCAAGUGUCCACGAAGCCACCCGUUGUGACCAAAGAAGGAGGUAACGGAGAAAAGCAGGGCACCUGCCCCAGCGUGGACUUCCCCAAGCUUGGCCUCUGUGAGGACCAGUGCCAGAUGGACAGCCAGUGUUCUGGCAACAUGAAAUGCUGCCGAAAUGGCUGUGGGAAGAUGGGCUGCACCACACCCAAAUUCUGAGCUUCAGCCACCAGCAGCCUGAGGAAUGGAGAGAGGUUGCUUCUGCUGGACCAUGCAUUCUGGUGUCGUUCCUGUGGCCUCCUCUCUCUCUGGCCUUUGCAUUUCGUCCUGGUCCCACAAAAGCAUCUCCUUUUUCUAACCAAUAAAGCGAUCACUUUCAGCAAUGGAGAAGCU